rnacentral:rRNA from 1 species
GAUGAACGCUGGCGGCGUGCCUAAUACAUGCAAGUAGAACGCUGAAGGAAGGAGCUUGCUCUUUCCGGAUUAGCUGCGGACGGGUGAGUAACGCGUAGGUAACCUGCCUGUUAGCGGGGGAUAACUAUUGGAAACGAUAGCUAAUACCGCAUAACAGUAGAUGCUGCAUGACACCUAUUUGAAAGGGGCAAUUGCUCCACUACCAGAAGGACCUGCGUUGUAUUAGCUAGUUUGUGAAGUAACGGCUCACCAAAGCGACGAUACCUAGCCGGCCCGGAGGGGUGGUCGGCCCCCCUGGGACUGGGGCACCGCCCCAGCCUCCUCCGGGAGCAGCAGUAGGGGAACUUCGGCAAAGGGGCGAAGUCUGACCGAGCAACGCCGCGGGAGGGGAGGAGGGUCUCGGGUCGGUAAGCUCUUUUGUAAGGGAAGGAAGAGUGUGAGAGUGAAAAGUUCACACUGUGACGGUAUCUAACCAGAAAGCGACGGCUAACUACGUG